CCCGGCGGCCACAGCGUUUGGGUACCACCCGAUCCCAUCCCGAACUCGGAAGUGAAACCAUUCUGCGCCGAUGAUAGUGUGGGGCCUCCCCAUGUGAAAGUAGGUCACCGCCGGGU
rnacentral:rRNA from 1 species